GAGUUUGAUCUUGGCUCAGAACGAACGCUGGCGGCAUGCCUAACACAUGCAAGUCGAACGCGUGGUUUCGGCCACGAGUGGCGCACGGGUGAGUAGCGCGUGGGAACCUGCCUUUGGGUUCGGGAUAACCGCGGGAAACUGCGGCUAAUACCGGAUGUCCCCUGCGGGGGAAAGAUUUAUCGCCCAGAGAGGGGGCCCGCGUCCGAUUAGGUAGUUGGUGAGGUAACGGCUCACCAAGCCUGCGAUCGGUAGCUGGUCUGAGAGGAUGAUCAGCCACACUGGGACUGAGACACGGCCCAGACUCCUACGGGAGGCAGCAGUGGGGAAUAUUGGACAAUGGGGGCAACCCUGAUCCAGCAAUGCCGCGUGAGUGAUGAAGGCCUUCGGGUUGUAAAGCUCUUUCGCCCACGACGAUGGUGACGGUAGUGGGAGAAGAAGCCCGGCUAACUUCGUGCCA
rnacentral:rRNA from 1 species